rnacentral:lncRNA from 12 species
CAAUCCUUGGUGCGAGGAUGACAAGGUGACCAGAGGCGGGUGUCGUCUCUGACUUGGAUCCUGCCCCCAGGUGCUCCUCACCCCCUGGGGGACACAGACGGGCACCCGAGGUACCCAGAGCCAAAAGAAGGGAGUCCUCUGGUGGCCCAGAGGAGGGACAGGCCACAUCCGUCCGAUGUGGGGAGCGGAAGGGCUUCCCGGAGCAGGUGACCUUUGGAUUGCUUUAAAGGAAGGAGACGCGGAGGGGUGUUCUAUCCAGGAGGAGGGACCAGCUGCAGCAGAGGCCUGGGGAUGGGGACAGUGGUUGCUGUGAUGACCAGGAUGCAAGGCCAAGGUGUGGGGACGCAGAGAGAGCAGCUUGGGGAGGUAGACUGGGACCCCGGAGGCCGGGUGUGAUGUUCUGCGUGACAGGGAGCCGUGGGAGGGGCUUGAGCAGAGGGGCCACUUGCCUAGAGGCGGGCUGCUUGGAGGGUAUUUGGAGGGAAGUCUAGUUGUCUGGGUGGAGCUUAGGUUUUUAUGAGGGAGGCCCUUAAAGAGGAGGCUCGUCUUCUAACUGGACUUCUGGCAUCCUGACCUCACCCCAUGGCACAGGCCCCUCUGGAGGGCAGUGGAGAAGAGGAAGGGAUUUGGAGUCCAAAGAUCUGGCUUCUGGUUCUGAUCCUGCUCUGGAACCCUGGGUCCUCAAAUGGAUCACUGGCCUUCCCAGGCCUCUACUUUCCCACCUGCAAAAUGGAGCCAUGAGGUUUUUCCCUUUCUCUGUUUGUCCAGUUCUGGCUGACUCGUGAGGCCCCGAUGACAGAUGGGGAAGGGACCACCCUCUGUCACCCAGCCCGCCAACAGCCAGUCAGGUGGGCACCCAGGCUCUGGAGGAGGGCUUCCUGGUGAGGAUUUGUGGUUUGGAGAGCCCGCUGGGGCUGGCCUCCGGACACAGCUCUGUCCCCAGCAAGCUGCCACCGCCCUCAGCCCUGAUGCAGGUUUCUUGGAAUGUCAGCGGCCCCGGGAGGCAGUCCGUGGGCAGGCGGAAUUUGGUGGCAAGAAGCCCUGGACAGGCCAGAGGCCAGCUCAGCUCCUGACUUGCUGUGUGACUUGGAGCCACGGCCCUCGGCCUUUCUGAGCCUCGAUUUCCCCACCCGCGAAGCGGGAGGAGCAGCGUGUCUGCACUCGUGGCCCACGGACCGCACGAUCAGGAUCCCUGCAGGAAAGCGCUUGAAACGCAUGUCCCCGACUCCUGAGUGAGCUUCCCAGUGAUUUCAGUGUACUUAGCUUUGGGGACCCCCUGCCUUCGGAAGCCCACAUUUCCCCUCCUGGUCUCAAGUUUGAACACACUAGGGUUCUGUGGGGUCUCCCUACCCACCCCCACCCCCAAGCGUGAGGGUCUCAGCGGAGGGGAGGGGUCCGAUUAGGCGGUGGGUCGGGACUGGGCACGGCUCCUGAAAAUUAUCUGCUUUCAAGCUCCUGGCAGGGUCCCCAUGGUCCUCAAUCCCGCUGAAGUCACUGGUAAAGCACUUGAGUCCUACAGCGAUGAAACUCUAGCUGCUAGUUAUAGAGUUUGGUUUCAAAAUUGUGCCAUUUAUUAUUUUUGUUGGAUUGGCUUGUAAACCCUUGUAUAGUCAUACAUCAUUUAUAACUGCUUUAUUCCGCAAGAAUGCAUUUUCCAGAUGAGGUCGAUUCCUUCUGUGAAAAACUAAAAAAAAAAAAAAAAAAAAAAAAAAAAGUCUUUUUAUAUGAAAUGGAAGUCUUUCACUAUGUGCUACCUAUUUAUACCACCCGAAACGGGGGUCAGGGAACAUAAUUUUACUCCCUGGGAGCUUCACCUCUUGUAGGCACAAUGCUUUCAGGGACAAGUACGCUGCGUGGUCACCGUGCCCGGGCACUGAAUGCCCUCCAAGAUGCUCCAUCCCUGUGUUUGCUUUUAAAAGGUUUGUUUUGCUUUAAUGAUUUUGUUUUGAACUAUUUCUGCCUCACAGCACACGGGCAAUGACUUCUUACCACUCUCACGAUGACGCCCUCUCGUGGAAAACCGGUCACCCAGGCGUGUUAGAAUUAUUUGUCUCUUGGGAGUUAAUAAGCAACAGAGGAGAAGAUCCUCCCGUGAGUUAAGGGCAUAGACUUCU